CCUACGGGCGGCAGCAGUGGGGAAUAUUGGACAAUGGGGGCAACCCUGAUCCAGCCAUGCCGCGUGUGUGAAGAAGGCCCUCGGGUUGUAAAGCACUUUCAGUGAGGAAGAACGCCUGGUGGUUAAUACCCAUCAGGAAAGACAUCACUCACAGAAGAAGCACCGGCUAACUCCGUGCCAGCAGCCGCGGUAAUACGGAGGGUGCGACGUUAAUCGGAAUUACUGGGCGUAAAGCGCGCGUAGGUGGCUUGAUAAGCCGGUUGUGAAAGCCCCGGGCUCAACCUGGGAACGGCAUCCGGAACUGUCAAGCUAGAGUGCAGGAGAGGAAGGUAGAAUUCCCGGUGUAGCGGUGAAAUGCGUAGAGAUCGGGAGGAAUACCAGUGGCGAAGGCGGCCUUCUGGACUGACACUGACACUGAGGUGCGAAAGCGUGGGUAGCAAACAGGAUUAGAUACCCCGGUAGUC
rnacentral:rRNA from 1 species